CUUCUUCUUCUUCUAGGACAUCUAUGAAUUUCGCAAACAAACAAGAUAUCCAUUGGAACGGGAACAAAAAAGAAGGAAACAAACCAGCCAAGAUACAUAAGAAAGAAAGAAAAGAAGUAAUUAAUUUAGAGUUUGUACCUUGGCGGCAAAAGGAAUCAGUGUUGUCUUCUUGUUCUCCUUCAGGAACGGGGGGUCUUGCAAGUGCAAGAGCUUCCUGGAAGAUGCGGAACCUGCGGUCUUCCUCCUUUUUGGAAGGGUAUGUUACUGAAUUCAUCGUGCACCACAUCUUGAAAAUAUCUCUAUUUGUGAGGCUUGCAACAUUAGGAAUGGAAUCAGUGUUGUCUUCUUCUCCUACUACAUCUAUCAAUUUCGCAAACAAACAAGAAAUCCGUUCGAACGGGAACAAAAAAUGAAUGCAAUUAUGAGCAAUGAAGCAUUGAUUGACUUACUAUCAGCUCCAGAAGUUUUGAGAAGCUCAAGAGCAGAAAUGGUGGUGCUACUUUGAUCAUCACCGGUCUUAACUGCUCCAUUAGAAUUUAAAGCUUCACAGCGAAUAAUCCCUUUUUGAAUGGAAAGUGAAAUAUGGUUUCACAACGAAACAACCAUUGUUAUAUACCUUUUUUUUACAAACCAUUGUGAUAUACUCG
rnacentral:lncRNA from 1 species